GCACUUAAUUUGGCAGCGCAUAUGCUAAAAUUGGAAUGAUACAGAGGAAGAUCAGCAUGGCCCCUACACAAGGAUGACAUUCAAAUUCAUGAGGCAUUCCAUAUUAAA
rnacentral:snRNA from 1 species